rnacentral:lncRNA from 1 species
CAACCAACUCGAAAGCAAUUUAGCUCCUUUGGUUGCCGUACGCUUAUACAAAUUAAUAAUAUAUUAUAAACGAGCAUUAGAAAUAUUCAAUAAAAAUGAAUAAUCACGAAUGUAAAUAAUGAACAGAAUAGUGUGAAUAAACCAAAAUUGAAUUGAAUUGAAUUGAAUCUCCCACGUUGAUUGUGGAGCCUUAUGUGCCAAGAUACAUGAGUACUCUUCUUAGAGGAAAACCAGUGGUUAGCAACCCAAUUAGGGUACCUAGAGUGCAAUACUGAGGCUGGAGUCGUUUGCCAAAGGACCAGAUCAAGGGAAGUUAUUGUUCUAAUUUAUGCAAAAUGUUAUGCUUCUUUUCGUGCUCACUGUCUUUCUUGUUGUUUCUUUUCCAAGGCUAUUGAGCUGUAAUAUUGGGGGCAUCAGACAGCCGCACGUGGCAUCUCUUGCUAUGAGGCUGCCCAGAAUAUUGAAACUUGAUAGGGCCCCAUCCACUGUGCAUAAGUACUACAGGAGCUUUAUGACAGGGAUGGGCUGAAGAGUAUGGUGUAUGUGCACUACUAUAUUUAAGCGAGCUUAUGAGUCAGGGGAGUUCUCCAGCACCAGUCCUAUCUGCAGUUUAUGUCAUUUCAUGGGCCCACAGGAAGGCAUUGGAACGUGACCCUUGCCAACACCCAUGGGUUCCUCGGGUGUGUGAGGCGCAAGACUGGCUAAAAGACUGUUGGGGCGUCCACCAGUCAAGAAGGAGAAUCUAAAGGUGGGCCAUGUUCAGGCUAUUGUAGACCAGUUCGGGUAUUUUGGAACCAGCCUGGCAGAUUUGCAGACCGUCGUCAUCAACUUGGUUGGUUUUGCNGGUUUUCUCUGUUGAAGUGAUCUUUCUGGAAUUUGGGCGGAUGAUAUGCAAUUUCACAACGCCCACAUGGACAUCAUGCUAAGAAANAGAAAGAGCGAACAAUACCGAAAGGGUAGUAUGAUUCCUAUAGNCUGUACUGGGUCUGUCUAUUGUCCUGUCUCAUUGAUGGAAAGGUUCCUCGCAAGGACCAAUGUUUCAACAGGACCCUUCUUUCGCAAAAUUAAGAUACAGGUAGGAGAACAGGAGCUAUCCCACAACAAACUUUGUUACUUAGCAUGUUCAAUGUUAUUGGAUUAGAGGAGAAGAAAUUUGGAAGCUUGAGAGCUUGAGGAGCAUCGGCUGCAUCAGAGGCGGGAAUCCCUAAAAGGCUUAUUUCAUCUCAUGGAGGAUGGAAAUCUGAGUCCUCCCGCAAUGGUUACAUCAGAGACAGCAAGUAAACUCUGGUAUCUGUUUCUAAGGCACUAGGCCUGUAGACCAAAAUUAAAAAACAAAUUGCUUGUGCUACCUAUGCUUUUGCACUGUGGUUGCGAGCUUAGAUCGUCCACCACAUACUGUGUACUGUGUGCUGUUCUGAGGAAUCUAGUAGUAGUAGUACUAGGAAAUCUAUUUCUCUUGUAACAGACAAGUUUAGCAAGGGUCGUGACAUGCAGGUAGAUGGGAUCAGGGAUCAUNGUUAUUUUGGGAUCAGGGAUCGGGAUUUGUUGCAUUGGGAUCGGGAUCACAGCCACUGGGAUCGGGAUCAUUGCUAAAUAUAAGGGAUAUGUCAAAUCCUUCGUCCGAUAUCUGGUUGUCUUAUAUCAUUAUUAUUCUGUUAUGUUUCACCUCCGGACGUCGAUCGUAUUUCCAUCUGCAAUCGGAGACUUUUUAUGGACAAUAAGGUUUUUGCAAUUUUGUAAUGCGUUGUUUUUUUUUACUGUUUUUGUGGUUACUCCGAUACGGAGUAAUCCACUAUGUCGUCGCGAUGUAAGCAAUCAAGAAAUCUGUAAUACCCGACUCUUUUCCGAAAUCGGUUCGAUCAUUUCACUAUCGAUAUAAUCGCAGCGGGAAGACCGAAUGACUCUGGGACACCAAGUUUUGGAGUAACCACAGAGGAGUAACCACAUGAAGUGUAUGUUGAUGUGUGACGUCAAAAUAAUUGNCACAUUUUAUGUGACGCUCAUCCACACGUGACAAUUUUUAAUUGUCACAUAAAAACUAACAUGCCAGCUUUCCAGCAACUACAAUAAAAAAACAUUGGUUGCGGGCUUAGACCGUCCACAGCAUACUGUGUACNGUGUGUUGUUCUGAGGAUGUUAGGACUGUAGGAGUAUAGGAAUUGACAUUUUAAAUUUGAGAUUUUCAUUUGUUUAUUAAUAUUUCUUAGCUAUCAUGAUUUUGAAAAAUCUGGUGUUCUAUGUGAAGAUGUAGUGUUCUAACACUAGCAAUGUAAUUUAGGUAACACCCAGUGGUUUUGUUGUUGUAACUGAUAACUNGCAACAGCCUUCCUACCAACAAUCAACUAGCAACCCUCAAUCAUGGCAAGCUUCUCAGGGACCCUAUACAGUUGGACAAAAUAUUUCACCAAUGCAUCAUGGUCAAACACCAUUUGAUCCUAAUAUGUUUGCAUCAGGAGGACCAUUGUAUGACCCAAGAGUACAUGCACAAGUUCCCUACACUCCACCACCACCAUAUACUGAGGAAAACCCACAAGCUCAACCUUUACCAAACAAAACUGGAAUGUGAUUUUUCAAAACAAUUACUCCAAUGUAAAAACUAAACGUUUCAAAGUAACACUGAAUAUCAAGCAGAAAGCAAGAUAAUAUUAAGCUGACUAACGUCAUUUAAAUCAUGUUGGACUUUUAUAUAGAGGCCUUUUAAUAUUAUGAGGAGACAUUGUGCCAGUAAGGACAAUUCAGAGCACAAUUUCAUNAAGAAAAUUUGAGGAAAUGGCUUCAGUUGAUUUUUCACAUCAUCAUGUCACGGAUGCACCUUGGGUGCUAUUGCACCUGGCACCUGUUUAGAUAGCAAUGACACAUCCGGAAUAGCCCUGAAAUCUCCAUUAACAAACGAACAAACGUGCUGAAAAAGAUACAAGACUAUAGAUUACAGACAUAAAGUGUUAAAGUGCUCCNCAAAAUUGUGUGCUGAAUUAUGAAUUCCAAUGUUUCAACACAACAGUUGUAAAUGAAUAGUGCUACCAAUUAAAGUCAUUAAAUCCGUGAAUCAAAACUUGACUNUUAAAAAAAUGAUAGUCAAAUGGACACACAAAAAAAUGGAAAAAAAGAAAAACUAAGGUGUAUCAAUCCAAUGUCUAUUUCCCUUUUUUUUUCACUUCAUUCAACGGGAAUGCAGACGAGCUGAGUUCUUUUAUUUGUUUUCAAGAACAUCCCGUUUCCAUGGGCAACAUAAUGCAUAUUAAAUGCUAUCGAUUUUUUUUACUCCAGACUAUUAUUUUAAUUAAUUAUGAAAUUUUGUUUCACACGUGUCAGAUUUAAUGUCUUCAUAAUUUAGUUUGUACUUUUUUGUGCUUUUAGAGGGGGUGCUCUAAAUCUGUGAGACAUAUAUUAUUAAUCAAUACUAAGUAGUAUUUAUGAGACAUUUGGAAACAAAGGAACAGCAUUAUUUAGGAUUAUUUAGUGCUAUUUUGUUUCACGAAUAAGUGCGUUUGCUGUAGUGUUUGCCCUCGAUCAAAUUUACUCGAUGUUUCCAUUGCAUCUCUAGAACCCAACAAAAAUCGCUGCAUCAC